UUUUUCCUUCCAUUAUGGGCAUUGCUUCUAGGACAAGCCUUGAUCUUGCAUUGGAUGUUACUUCCUGUCAACUUCCAGCAGCAGGAGUCUUCUUUUCAGUGCUUGAUGCUUCACGAAAUCGACUCUGCCCGUUGGCAGCAAAUACCAGAGAGCUAGGAGACAGAGCUGGUUGCAGACCUUUCCUCUUCCAGCCUUUGGUUGCAAUUCUUUGGCCCAUAAUUUGCUAGCUCUAGUUCCUUGGGCCACACAGGUAUCCUGCCAUCCAGCUCUUUUUCUAUGUGAGAGACGUUCUGAACACUGUCCCUUUUUCUUUGCACAGAAGUAUAUACAGUGUGGCAGUUACUGUAAUCUCCUCCCCCUUGCAAACAGCCACUCUCGAAUCUUGGACCUCUAGGACUCUCUGUCUUGCAUGCUUGGGUGCAAGGCCAAGCAAAAUGAAGAGGAGAAUAAUUAGAGAAAGAGGAGGACAUUGGUGGAGAAUUGGGAGCAGACUGGUGUUUCAUCUUGACAAGUUCUCUGUCAGUCCGUAGGAAAGCUGUCUGGCUUGGAGGUUGCAAUCCCAGGGAAUUUUUCAUCAGCGGGGAAGUCUCCAUCACUACAGAGGAAUCAAGGGAGAAGUCAGUCCCUGGGAAGUGAGAUGCUCCCCCUAAACACCAACACAGCAGUCGUGUACCUUUCAAGGGGUUCAGGGGCAAGAUGGGCAAGGCAUUUCUGCUAACUCUUCUUAAGGAUCAUGGACAGUGCCCUAUGCUACGAGGGAGGUGACAGGCGGCUAUGCCCCUGAUUUGGAAUCUGAGAUGGUGUUCCCUGAGCAAGGCUGGCAGAAAGCGAUGGAUAUAGAGGGACCAUGUUAUUGGCGUCUGAAGUUUUAUCAUAGUGGGCUGCCAUAAACAUGGAGGAAGCAACUGUGUGCCGGUCAGUGAGUGCCAGAGUAAAGUCUCCGGGUGAAGAAGAAUUCUUUUCAGUGCUUCGUGUGAUGUCCCACUGAAGAACACCUGGAUAGGAAGGAGCUGAAGUGGAGAUCUGGCUGUGGUCAGUAACUCCAGAUACCGUAGUCGUGCUAGAAUGUUGGUAAAGGUAGGCACUACCCGUGAGUGUCUGGAAAGAGGUACCAGUAGCUGAUGGCGAACUGACGGCAGGGGCAGAGACUCUGGAGAAGUUGCAGACACUUCGUGUUAGGGAAGUUGCAUUGCUCAUCACAGGAAGAGAAUGCUGCAGAGAUUUCAGAGUUCCAAGUAGAGAUGGAUUUUGGAAAUUUUCUGUAAGAACAAGAGGGUCAUGAAAAACUCAGGGAGGUUGAGAAAUUCUCAGUCCGUUUG